rnacentral:rRNA from 1 species
CGAACGGGUGAGUAACACGUGGGCAACCUGCCCAAAANAGGGGAUAACACUGGAAACAGGUGCUAAUACCGCAUAACCAUAGUUACCGCAUGGUAACUAUGUAAAAGGUGGCUAUGCUACCGCUUUUGGAUGGGCCCGCGGCGCAUUAGCUAGUUGGUGGGGUAAAGGCUUACCAAGGCAAUGAUGCGUAGCCGAACUGAGAGGUUGAUCGGCCACAUUGGGACUGAGACACGGCCCAAACUCCUACGGAAGGCAGCAG